rnacentral:rRNA from 1 species
UACGGAGGGUGCGAGCGUUGUCCGGAAUCACUGGGCGUAAAGGGCGCGUAGGCGGUUCUUCAAGCGUGUGGUGAAAGUCCGGGGCUCAACCCCGGAUCGGCCGUGCGAACUGGGGGACUUGAGCACUGUAGAGGCAGGUGGAAUUCCGGGUGUAGCGGUGGAAUGCGUAGAGAUCCGGAAGAACACCAGGGGCGAAGGCGGCCUGCUGGGCAGUGGCUGACGCUGAGGCGCGACAGCGUGGGGAGCAAACAGGAUUAGAAACCCCCGUAGUCC